GGCCAGUUGGCUCAGUCCGUUGAGCGUGGUGCUGAGAAUGCCAAGGUCGCGGGUUCGAUUCCCACUCCGUCCC
rfam:Apaloderma vittatum contig56475, whole genome shotgun sequence.